rnacentral:lncRNA from 1 species
UUAACCAUCGUUAAACCUAGGAUCAAGUACAACCCCUCAUCUUCUGUCACCACGACCAGCCGCCCCCGGAGAUCGCCAGCGGCAGCGAUCGAUCUCCAAACCUCCUCAAAAUUUGAACCCAUAGUCCUUGUUGCCUUCCCACUGCAAAUCCAUCACUAGUUUUCUCAUGAAUUUCAAAUCUCGGAAAGAAGAAAAUUCGAGUUGGCUCCCUCUCCUAUGAUUUUCUCUAGAUUUCUCCGAUAUUCGCUUCUUUUGAUACUAUCACGAGUGAUAAGCUAAUUAUUCAAUCAAAUUCGAGGCCUAUCAUGGAAGCCAGUUUAGCCAAGCAAUCUAUGCUCCAAGUUCUAGUUCGUCUCAUUUUCAAGAUAGGUGUCGAAGAUUGUGAUAUGGAGCGUUAGCCGUCGGAGAAAUUCUGGUUAACACUCAUAUUACAAUUCUCGCCGCUUAUCGGAUCCUCCUUAGUCGUUGAUUUCUUUGACGUCGUCAAUCCGCUGUUAGAACCCGGUACAUUAUUCCCCUCUUUACUGUAAUUUCAAUUCUUUUUCUUCUUUUGUUGCUCGCUAUCUUGAUGUCAAACAUUAGUUCUGGUGUGGUAAAUUAGCAUCGAUAGCUUAGUAAAAUCAUUAUUGUUCUAUUUCUUGUUCUGUUUGAUUUAGAAGUGUUGUUGUUCAUAGCUUCAAUGGUAUUGUAGUUUUGGUCAUUCUUUACUGAUUUAUGAAUUGCGCUGGUUUUUUGUGUUAAUCACGUUUGGGCUUUAUAAAAAGGGAGCCCAAAGCGGGGCAAGGAAUUCUGGUAGCCCGCAUGGUUUGGGCCUGUAUGUGCCUCACUUGAGCCCUCUGUUUUUCAGGGGAGGGUAAAUAGUGAUGGCUAUGGGGUGAUUUGGGCAGUCUAGGUGGGGAUUUUGUAACUAACCUGGAAGUUUCUAGCAGGGAUCUGCUAGUAAAUUUCAGGGUAUAACUUGGGAAACAAGUCUCAUAUAUAGGGGACUAAAAAUGAAAACCAAAAUUUGAAAGGUACCUUAAGGAUUUGCCUAUAAAGGCAUUGUAAAGAGGGCCGAAAAAAAUAGAAAAAGAAAUAUAGGGAAGUAUGGCUAGUUUAAUGGAUUCCAUAUAAGUUCUAAAAAUCAGAAAUAUUCAAAAAAACUCUACUGUUUCAUAGAACUCUCCUUUCCUUCUUUGAUAUCUGGAGUUUCCUUUCAUUCUCUGAAAACUAGACUCGACUUAUUUGGGUGUUGAAAUGGUUUGAAGUUGGAGUAAUAAGUUGUUCAUUAGGAAUUAUUUGGUUUGAUGGACCAUUGGCCUGUUAAAGUUGGGUUGCUGGUCUGCUGUUGUUGCGUCUAUUGAUCUUCACUUGUUUCUUUGUUUCCUGUCUUAUCCUAGGUACACAUCUCUGAAAUGCAAACAAUGUAAUCUGCAAUUUGGAAGUCAGAAAAUGGAAUAAAAUGUGUGGAUGUUUAAUUGUUGGUUCACAAUUAGCUUCAGUUUGCUUCUUUUCCUGUUAAUUCAUGAUGUUUCUUGAAAGCUGUGUGCAUUUACCUUAUAGUUUAACCAUGUUUUAUUUAAGCAUGUAAUCGUGGUCAUAACUUAGAUUAUUGAUUCAUUUAUUUCCUUUUGUCUGUCGUGCUUUCUCUUUAUUAAGUGUUGGAAAUGAAUUCUGUUAAUAGGACUGAUCGAAAGCUAUUUUUUUGUUUUUUAAACCAUUUUCCAUGUGCUAG